rnacentral:rRNA from 1 species
UACGUAGGGGGCGAGCGUUGUCCGGAUUUAUUGGGCGUAAAGAGCGUGUAGGCGGCCAGGUAGGUCCGUUGUGAAAACUCGAGGCUCAACCUCGAGACGUCGAUGGAAACCAUCUGGCUAGAGUCCGGAAGAGGAGAGUGGAAUUCCUGGUGUAGCGGUGAAAUGCGCAGAUAUCAGGAGGAACACCGGUGGCGAAGGCGGGUCUCUGGGCCGUAACUGACGCUGAGGAGCGAAAGCGUGGGGAGCGAACAGG